rnacentral:rRNA from 1 species
AUUGAACGCUGGCGGCAGGCCUAACACAUGCAAGUCGAACGAGUGGCGGACGGGUGAGUAAUGUAUGGGAAACUGCCCGAUGGAGGGGGAUAACUACUGGAAACAGUAGCUAAUACCGCAUAACAUCGGAGGUGCCCAGAUGGGAUUAGCUAGUAGGUGGGGUAACGGUGCACCAAGGCGACGAUCCCUAGCUGGGCUGAGAGGCUGAUCAGCAACACUGGAACUGAGACACGGUCCAGACUCCUACGGGAGGCAGCAUUGGGGAAUAUUGCACAAUGGGCGCAAGCCUGAUGCAGCCAUGCCGCGUGUAUGAAGAAGGCCUUCGGGGUGUAAAGUACUGUCAUCGAGGAGGCGUUACUCGCAGAAGAAGCACCGGCUAACUCCGUGCCAGCAGCCGCGGUAAUUC